rnacentral:lncRNA from 1 species
GUUUGGCUUUAUAGUAAACAGGAUAAAACUGUCUGGAGAAAUGUGAACAUUUAGAGAAGGAGAUAUGCGUGUAUAUGCUUUAAUGAAGGUGGCAACUUUAUUCUUUGAAGUAUCCAGAGAAUUAUGAAAGAAGACUUAGAUAAUCACAAGGCAACUUCUCCAGAAAUGAGUGCUCAUCAGUGAAAACCAUAGUGUACCUCUGUGUAUGGUUCCUUGAUCCUGGUGGGAGAAACUGCGAUUCAUUAUGACUGUGUAAACACUGGUGCAGAGGAAGGAGACUUGAUCUAGGGAUUGGAGUUGUCAAAUGUUCCAGUGACCUUCUGUGUGACCUUCAGCAAGUUGUUUUUACUCUCUGAACCUCUGUUUCCUUAUCUACGAUUUUUCUGUAAUUCAGUGAUUUAUAUACAUUGCCUGGAAGAGGGACCGGCACAUGAGAGACGGAGUUUCGCUCUUGUUGCCCAGGCUGGAGUGUAAUGGCGCAU